rnacentral:rRNA from 1 species
UACGUAGGGUGCGAGCGUUAAUCGGAAUUACUGGGCGUAAAGCGUGCGCAGGCGGUUCGGAAAGAAAGGUGUGAAAUCCCAGGGCUUAACCUUGGAACUGCACUUUUAACUACCGGGCUAGAGUACGUCAGAGGGGGGUAGAAUUCCACGUGUAGCAGUGAAAUGCGUAGAGAUGUGGAGGAAUACCGAUGGCGAAGGCAGCCCCCUGGGAUGAUACUGACGCUCAUGCACGAAAGCGUGGGGAGCAAACAGG